rnacentral:rRNA from 1 species
UAGUCCACGCCGUAAACGAUGGAUACUAGCUGUCGGGACUUCGGUCUCGGCGGCCAAGCGAAAGUGAUAAGUAUCCCACCUGGGGAGUACGUUCGCAAGAAUGAAACUCAAAGGAAUUGACGGGGGCCCGCACAAGCGGUGGAGCAUGUGGUUUAAUUCGAUGAUACGCGAGGAACCUUACCAGGGCUUAAAUAUAAGUUGCAUGAUUUAGAGAUAGAUCUUUCUUCGGACUACUUACAAGGUGCUGCAUGGUUGUCGUCAGCUCGUGCCGUGAGGUGUCAGGUUAAGUCCUAUAACGAGCGCAACCCCUACCGUUAGUUGCCAGCAUGUUAUGAUGGGGACUCUAGCGGGACUGCCGGUGCAAACCGAGAGGAAGGUGGGGAUGACGUCAAAUCAUCACGGCCCUUACGUCCUGGGCUACACACGUGCUACAAUGGUCAGUACAGAGGGCAGCCACUACGCGAGUAGGAGCGAAUCCUUAAAACUGAUCUCAGUUCGGAUCGGAGU